UACGUAGGGUGCAAGCGUUAAUCGGAAUUACUGGGCGUAAAGCGUGCGCAGGCGGUUUGUAAGUCUGUCGUGAAAAUCCCCGGGCUCAACCUGGGAAUUGCGAUGGAGACUGCAAGGCUAGAAUCUGGCAGAGGGGGGUAGAAUUCCACGUGUAGCAGUGAAAUGCGUAGAUAUGCGGAGGAACACCGAUGGCGAAGGCAAUCCCCUGGGCCUGCACUGACGCUCGAUGCACGAA
rnacentral:rRNA from 1 species